CCAGAUUACUGCGUCUGAGUCUGCGGGUGACUCAUCGGCUGUCGGUCUGACUACAUCUGCGGUCAUGGGUGCCCUCCUGCGAGUGUGCACGUACAUCAGCAGCAGGCUGUAACCAUGGCAAAAAAACAACCCAAUAAGUGAGCUAGAUUAUAUUACUGCUAGAGUCCUUUCCGGGUUCACAGCUGCAACAAAUAUCCUUACAACCACAAUGAUUAGAUCAUGUUUAUGAAAGAAUAAAUAAAAACUAUUAUCAGCAGACUCCUUUGAGGGGUCAUAACCCUGACUAAAUGGUUCAUACAUCUGGUAUUGAAGCAGAAAUUUAGAACAAAAAUGAACACACACAAUCUAAUCGAUUUUCAUUUUCAAAGCAACAAUUAUUCCUAAUCAAACAGGAAAUAAUGUAACAUACUGGUAAUUACAGGUAUAUUGGCAUCUACUCUGUAUAUUAGCUUAACAUUCACUAGACAGGCCACCCAAUUAAAAUUUUUCAGUAAAGAAUAUAAAAUCUUUUUGAUGUCUUCCACGGAUCUUUAACCGCAAGUCCACGGAGCCUCGAAACAAACGGCCAAAUUACCGACUCUGCAUGUCUCCUGUUUGUUCUGCGGCCUCCCGCUGACGGUCCAGUUAUUAGGACGAGGCGUGCUGAAGCAGAGACGCGUGUAAAAAUAUUAACUGGUUGAUUACUGAGGCGAUAUGCUUGCCAGUAGCUGGCUGCAAUAACAAAUGCGCUGUUGGGAGCUCGCCAGAUGUAGUUUUGAAAUUCCUUUACCGUAAGAAGAGUAGCCGGUAGAUUAAUUUUAGUUGCCGCGUCAUGACUGUUCAUGUUGAAAUAUUUUCAAAUGUCAGACUUUGCCUUUCUUGUAAUCCUUGGAUUUUUCUGUCUUUACUCCCUCGUGCCCCUUUUCUCCUUUUUCCUUAUUUCCUUCCUUCCUGAUACCGAUAACUGGGUCAUGGCUACUAGACCCGAUAGGACGGGGUCCUCUUUGUCUCGAACAGGCGGUGUUAAACGUUGGUCAAGCUUCACCGGAGUAAUUUUAUUACUCGAGUUGGUCUUUCACUCCUUUAAGAUUGGGCCGCUGGCUUCACAAUCAUUACGUGACGGGAUCACGGUGUUACAAGAUCAGUAACAGAACAUUACAGACUUUUUAUCUUCUAGUCUAAAACGCUCCUGUAAUGACGGUUCUUAACCUCAUCGCCUCCGGGGUAAAUGCUGCGAAUGUUACAGAGAAUCCUCAACACCCUGUAGUUUAUCUAUCUCAGACUAAUCACAGACGAAUGGGGAAAAUCUCAGAUUACAGCGCAUCCAGUCUGUAGCUUGUAGCUUAAUUUAAGAUGCUGUAUACACGACAAUCUGUCGUCAGCUUUAAACCGGAACUUUGAAAGCGACUACACGGCGAGCAAAAGUUAAACCCAGAGCGAUCUGGGAUAAAUUUGGGAGAGGACGCGGCCGACACAAACACGGGCGUCAGAAUUUAGCUGCAGCUCGUUUCCAGUCCAGCGGGACCCACUGGGGCCGCAACGCCAUGCGGCGGGUAGCUGAUUCAGCAUGUCGACGAUCGUGACACUUAGAAGGUGUUGAAAAGUGUGGGCAGAGCAGGUUUAGCAACGUGGCCUCUGCUCGUCCUUCGCUCUCCAGUAAUGGUCGGUAAGAAACAUCAACAGGUUCAUUGCCUUUCACACAGCCGUGUGUGGAAAAUGUACACAUUUUAAUACGGGGAGAAGGAAAAACAAAAACAGUAUCAAGGUUUAUAGUCAUGACUCGGUUGGCUUCUUUCCCUGGCUACAACCUAGCUCCGAUGUCUUCUUGCCGUUGCCGUGAUUUUCACUGACGUCAAAGAUUUUGCUGAGGGUUUUGAGGACUUUUUGAGUGAGAAAAUCAUCUUGCAUAU